UAGGGAAUUUUCGUCAAUGGGGGCAACCCUGAACGAGCAAUGCCGCGUGAGCGAAGAAGGUCUUCGGAUUGUAAAGCUCUGUUGCCGGGGAAAAAGGAAGGAAAGAGGGAAACUGCUUUUCUUUGG
rnacentral:rRNA from 1 species